UGUAUUACCAGGUGAACGUCAACUCUGCCCUGACAUGGCACCAAGCCCGCAUGAGUUGUCAACAGCAGGACUCAGACCUCCUGAGCAUCACUGAGCCCCAGGAGCAGACCUUCAUCUCAGGGAUCACAAACGAAUUCCAAACCAGUCUUUGGAUCGGGUUAAACCAACUGAACUCUGAGAGCGGAUGGCAAUGGGUGGAUGGGAAUCCAUUUUCCUAUUUAAGAUGGGGAUCAGGACAGCCAAAUCCAGCCCCGGGAUGGUCAUGUGCCUCCCUA